rnacentral:rRNA from 1 species
AGAGUUUGAUCAUGGCUCAGGAUGAACGCUGGCGGCGUGCUUAACACAUGCAAGUCGAACGAAGCAUUCUGGAUGAAGUUUUCGGACGGAUGAAGGGAUGACUGAGUGGCGGACGGGUGAGUAACGCGUGGGCAACCUGCCCCGUACCGGGGGACAACAGCUGGAAACGGCUGCUAAUACCGCAUAAGCUUUCCGGGGCGCAUGCUCCGGGGAGGAAAACUCCGGUGGUAUGGGAUGGGCCCGCGUUGGAUUAGGCAGUUGGCGGGGUAACGGCCCACCAAACCGACGAUCCAUAGCCGGCCUGAGAGGGCGACCGGCCACAUUGGGACUGAGACACGGCCCAAACUCCUACGGGAGGCAGCAGUGGGGAAUAUUGCACAAUGGGGGGAACCCUGAUGCAGCGACGCCGCGUGAGCGAAGAAGUAUUUCGGUAUGUAAAGCUCUAUCAGCAGGGAAGAAGAUGACGGUACCUGACUAAGAAGCUCCGGCUAAAUACGUGCCAGCAGCCGCGGUAAUACGUAUGGAGCAAGCGUUAUCCGGAUUUACUGGGUGUAAAGGGAGCGUAGACGGGUAUGCAAGUCUGAUGUGAAAGGCCACGGCUCAACUGUGGGACUGCAUUGGAAACUGUAUAUCUUGAGUGCCGGAGAGGUAAGCGGAAUUCCUGGUGUAGCGGUGAAAUGCGUAGAUAUCAGGAGGAACACCAGUGGCGAAGGCGGCUUACUGGACGGUAACUGACGUUGAGGCUCGAAAGCGUGGGGAGCAAACAGGAUUAGAUACCCUGGUAGUCCACGCGGUAAACG